rnacentral:lncRNA from 1 species
CAGAGGUCUCCGAGCUACAGCCUACAGAGUCAUUAACCACGCCUCUCAACAACUUAUUUUUUUGGUUGCACCAGCACCUCGUUGAACCUGUUAUUUGACUCUCCACUUGGUUUCUUUCUUUGAUAGUGCGCCUCUUCUGCCUGCCUUGUUGCCUGCCUCAACUAAACCUAACCCCAAUCAUACUGCUAAACUUAUGCCUAAACACAACUUUUUUUUUUUCAGCUGAAAGACUACGGUAUGCCCGGAGCUUACCCAUAAUGUUGCACAAUGAUUUAAGUCAAGUCAACAGAUAAAAUUACGCACAUUUCGAUCUGACUAUACGUGUCUUGCGAGGGCUGGCUUUAGUUAAUUUGGAACCAUCUACAAAACAUGUACAUGUGUGGGCUCAUUACCUCCGGUUUACAACCUGGUGAUACGGCUUCUGUCUGUAAUGCACUUAGUUCGAUCUGGAGCCAUUGGAUGGGCUGAUGGUGAUUAUCAACUUGGGUUGUGUACGUUUUGUUCUGUAGGAUUACAGUUUAGAAGAGCCACUGACCAUCAAGGGGCACAGGCUGGGUUGCAGAAAUGAUUGGACGGGAAGACCGACUGCAAGGAGAGGCUGACCGAGAUGAAGGCUAAAUUACAAGGACUGUCCUUGGAAGAAAGGGGAGAGGUGCUUGAGCUGGUCGCUUCCAGUCUACCUUGAGUGAUUUUUGAAUACCGGAGAGGUAUCUCAGGGUCUCCAGACAUCCCAGAGCAUGGACAACCUCGCUGGUGCACCUGCCUGAAUUGCAGGGGGACUCCUACACCUUACGACACAAAACUGCUGCCAUUUCACCGCUGCACUAUUCCGUAUAUUUAUUACCAAGUAUGUUUACAUAACAGUUGAACUUUCCACCACUACACUGUACUUUAUUCUUCAUUUGGAUCUCAAUUAUGAAAAAUAUUUCAUUUGGGGACAUCUUUGUAAAUAGUUUUUUUUGUGAUUAUUUUUCCCCCAGUCUGGGUGAUAUCAUUUCAGUACCUUACACCAGGGGUGUCAAACACAUUCCAUGGAGGGUUUAAUGUCUGCAGGUAUUGGGUUUUUCCUUUCAUUUAAGACAACCAGUUGAGGGAAGCUCUCUACUAAUUGGUGACCUUAAUUAAUCAAUCAAGUACAAGGGAGGAGUAAAAACCCACAUACACUCAGCCCUCCAUGGAAUGAGUUUGACACAUGCCUUACUGUGCUUUUUUUAAUUUGGAGAAAGUUACAGAAAUUACCUUGUAUUUUUGUUUAUCUCUCAAAUAAAACUUUAUUUGACCUUAUCUGUGUAAUCAGACCGACUUGUUUUGUACUGUAUUUACACCAGAGUAGUCCAUCCAUUUUUCUGGAUAUAUACCCAACUGUAGGUCUGCUAAUUUGUAGUGAAAAUUGUCAAUAGUAUACAUAUCCAGAAAAAGAUAACAGUUUAGUAAAUAAUUCCAAAACCAUUCCAAAAGUUAAAUAAUGAUGCCUAUAUGCUUGAUAAAGAAUGCACAAAUAUUGUUUCUCACACAAGUUUGUUGCCCACACAAACUUCCCUUAUUUACAUAUGAUUUAUAUGUUUGGUUGCAGGCCCACCACUUUCAACAACAUUUCUGAGUACUCUGUAGGUUUUCACACUUCCCGGGAAAUCUGACAAUAGGGAAAGCUCAGGUGUGCUAACUGCAUCUUGUGUUGCGUGGCGACUUCUCCUCAAAGUUGUAGCAGCUCAGCCAUUGUUGGUGGUGGCUCUUCAGGAGUCUUGGUUCAUCUGAUCUCAGGAUCAUUCUCCUUGGAAGCCCCAAGCGAGAGCCGUUCUUCUCAACAUUGCUUUCGUUCUGGGAUGGAUGUGUAGUCCUAUGCAGUUUUCAAUGCGUAGACACAGUCUCAUGUAGCUGAAAGAAAAUAUUUGGUGAGUAUUUUGUCUAUACAUUUACAGAACUGUAGUGUUGAUAUCUGUUGAAAAUAUAAC